rnacentral:lncRNA from 1 species
UUUUGUCCUAAGUAUAAUUGCAUUAGUGAUAUAGGAAGGUAUCUCAUAAUAGGGUUUUAUUGUAUUUCCCCUUAAAGUUGCAUAAUAAGUAUCAGCUUCCAUAAAGGCAUUUACCUGCAAAAUCAUCUGACUAGUUUCUCUGAAUAUAUUCCAUAGUUUGUACUGAAUAUGUUCACUUGGGAAGUUUCUAGUCUGGUGUUGAUUUUCAUAUAAUUAAAUAUUUGUAUACUGAUUAGUUGAAAAGAACUGAGAGUUAACAGAGGGUUUGGUAAGCAAUGAGUUGGACUGUUUCCCAAUUUUUCCUGCUCAGGAAAGGUUACAGAUAAUGGUUUUGAUUACAUGUCAGGUGAAAGUAUUAUAAAUGCUGUGAUAGCUAGGGUCUUGCUUGUGUAGAACCUCUUGGAUGCAGACAUGUCUGGGCAUGUCUGAAGCCCAGCAGGGCACUGUCCACUCAGUGCAUGAAGGACUGAGGAAGUUUCUUGAGAUAGGAUUCCUUCUUUCCAAGGAAGAAAGGAAGGAGGUAGUCAAGCUUGACCCAAUAACAAAGACAAUCUUCAGAAAGAAGCAGGGAUUUUGAGUUCAGCUUUGAGUCUUGUUUGCAGCUGAUUUAUUUCCCAGUAUAGACCCCUAUGGACUCCUUCCUGUGGCUUCUGACCUGUGAAAUGUGUGUGUAAGGCACCUGGCUGGGCGUGUGAGGAGGGACACCUCUGAAUAAAAGCUGAAAGAGCUGAGUGACUAGGAUUCUCUCAGACACCAUUGUUUUGGUACUAACAUUAAUAGAUAUAAUACGGAAAGUAGGAAGAGGAGUAUCCAUCUGUUUUGCAAAAGACAAAGCAAAAUAAAAAAACGAACACUACAAAACAAACAAAAAAACACACAAAAACAAAAUUGCUGCUGUUUUGACUGACUGCUACAAGGAGCCAUGUGUGAAAUUGUGGGCAAUGUGGGAAGUGAUGUAGUUCAGCAGAAGUGCAUCAUUGUGUCAUAGGAUUUAGGGGACAAGCCCACUAGGAGAGGAAUGGGGGGUGGGGAAGAAGAGAAAGUGAGUCAUUGAGGCUGCUUAUAUUAUGAUUAAUUACUGGAUUGGUGAACAAUGUACUUACUUGCUCUCCUCCAGUUUUUUCAUUAUUAAAAUGGUCAUUAGAACCACUUGUUCACUUUCAUGUUUGGUGGGUGGUGAAAAUUAAAAGACUUAUUUGCUUUAAAUUUUUAAAUUUAUUUAAGGUGUGCCUAUUUAUGAAAAAUCUUUCUUCUCAGUAUUGGAAUAAUAGAAAAUACAUUUCUUCACCCCUUACAUGGCAUGAAUAUCUAUUUUAAAUGGAAGAGUGUGGAGUUCCCGUCAUGGCUCAGUGGUUAACGAAUCCGACUAGGAACCAUGAGGCUGUGGGUUGGAUCCCUGCCCUCACUCAGUGAGUUAAGGCUCCAGCAUUGCCGUGAGCUGUGGUGUAGGUUGCAGGCGUGGCUUGGAUCCCACGUUGCUGUGGCUCUGGUGUAGGCCGGUGGCUAUAGCUCCGAUUAGACCCCUAGCCUGGGAACCAACAUACGCUGAGGGAGUGGCCCUAGAAAAGGCAAAAAGACAAAUAAAUAAAUAAAUAAAUGGAAGAGUGUGUGGAAUAUAAGUUAGCUGGACUCCUCACUCUUGUUAAGUCCCCCCAAAAGUUCACCAAAAUUCUUUAUUUGGAGGGACUUCCCUGUGCAUUGUACUAUAUUUAGCUCCCCUAACCUCUGCUCACUAGAUGUCUAUAGCGUACCCCCUACCCUUCAGUUUUGUCACCAUAAAAAAUAUCUCAAGACAUUGUCAGGGAGGGGAGGCAGAAUUACUCCAGAUUAAGAAUUAAUGCUGUAAUAUAACACAGUGUACUAAUUUGAAACAAAGACCUUGGACAAAAUAGUGUUGGUAGAAUUGGCCAUAAAGUUAUUAAAAUACUCACUCCUACACAUUGUGCCAGAGAAUGUGGCAUAAUUCUUAAAUCUUGGCAAUUUGUUUCUUGAUAUGUAAAUAUGAUAAAUGCUUACAUAUGUAAAUAUGAUAAAAACUAAUAACAGUUGCCUUUUAUUGAGGACUUUCUGAGUGCUAGUCAUUGUCCUAAGCACUUCAUCAACAUUCCACUGAAUUCUCUUAGCAACUCUUUGCAGUUGGUAUUAUUAUUCUAAUUUUUCAGAGAAGGCUUAGAAAAGUAAAAUGUCUUGCUUGAAAUCACACAGUUAGCAAUUGAUAUAUAAUAGCAUUUAAACCUAAAUCUACUUGGGCACAAGCUUUGGAGGAUUACUUUCUGAAUUUGUCAGAGUCCUUGUAGGAAAAGGCCCACUCUAAUGGGGUGACAGAUGAGACUCUAACAGAGGUCACAUUUACAGAUGGGGCAGGACAUCUACAGGGAACAGUGAAGUUUCCUGUGCAAACAAGACUUACCAGACCUUACACCAGUCUGAGGGAGCCACAGAGGAGGAAGUAGUUGCCAUACCUCAGAAGAGUGGCUGUAGCUCUGGAAGGACUGACAGACAGGAACUCGGUGGGUUCAGCCAGCUCAACAGCUGCCAGACAGGAAGGCACACUCUACCUCCCACCUUUUGAUCUCCCACUGCUCACUUCCAGAUCCACCAGGAAGCCACGGGGCAAAGGAGCCUGUGGCUGUUGCAUUGACAGAGGUCAGCUCCUAGGGCUCAGAGCUGGAUAAAGAGAAGAGAGUGAAUUUUGAGAGGCAAAGGGAAAUUUUCCAGGUCUCUUUAACCAUAAUGAAAUUUUAUAUAGUUAGGAUAUUUAUGAAAUAUUUUUGACCACCUAAAUAAACCAUGACAAUACCUAGUAGUAAUGAUGUGCUAUUAAGUAUAAAUUGAGGUGUAUUGAAAGUUUCAAGAGUUACACUUGAACACUUAUUCAUUUGAAAUUGUUACUGUUGAUCUGGAAGUAGUUAGGAGCACGCUGCUAACAGGAGCCAGGGGGAAAGACUGACAUUGAGAAUGUGUGGAAGCAAAGAAAGGAAGUUAUUUGCUUGGCGAUAAUUUAAAGACUAGUUGGCCGUUUGUGAUUAGUUGUCCUUAGCGUUUUGAUUUCACAAUCUUGAGGCUUUUUACAGGCUUGGAUUUUGGUUUGCUUAGGUAGACCUUCACGGUAUUAUAGCCACUUCAGUUUAGUGGCCUCUUUGUUUAAUUAAUUUAACAGGGCUUUAGCAGGUGUGCCCACACUUUUCUUGUAGAGGGCCAGAUAGCAAAUAUUUCAGCCUCUCUGGGCCCUGUGGUCCCCAUUGCAACUACUCAACUCUUGUUGUUACAGAGCAAAUGAAUGGAUGAAUUGGCUGUAUUCCAAUAAAAUUAUUCUUAUAUUUUUUGGUACAAAGUGCUGCAGUUUGCCAACCUCUCUACUAUAGGAAAACAUAACACUUUGUAUCACAUAUACUAAAUUAUGCCUAGUCAUUGAUCCCCCAACCCCAGAAGCCAAUAAAGAACAAACAAAUGAAAACUGUGGUGCAUUUCUUUUAUAUAUACAGAUCACUUAUUAAGGCUUAAAAAAUUAAAGUCAUUCUGCAGUAGGAUUUGUGAAUUUUAUCUUUUGUCCUUUCAACUCUCUUAUAGCAAAAACAGGGUGAAUGGAAAUAGUGGCUUUGUUUUUAAUGUACUUUUAAAGCUCAAUGCAGAGUUCACCUAUAACAAAAACCAAAUGGGAAGAACAGUACUUUUGUUAUGAAACCAACAAAUAUGUGGAAAGAAAUAGAAAUGCAUUUAUAGUAUAUUGGAAAACAAUUUCAAACUCAUAAUUAUAGUAUUAGCCCAAAUAAUACUUAUUAAAGUGGGACUCAUUAAAAAAGACCAGUCCACUCAACCUCUGGGCUAAUGUAUGGGCAUUAGAGAGAUAGUUGUGCCACAGAGGUCAUGUUUUAUAAGUAGACUAACUUCAUCUAGAGAUUCUAGAGACAAAUACCAUCCAUGUUUCAGAGAGGUACUUUGACACUUCUCCCUCCCUUCUUCCCUCAUUCCUUUUUCAUCUCCCACCCUCAUUUCCUUCUUUCCUUUCUAAUAUAGAGACUCAGGUGAAGUUGGCUUGGUUAACUCCAAACCAUAAGUCAUUGGGUUCUGGCAUUCUUCUCAGGUUCCUGGGGAUUAUGAAAGAUGACUUAUAUUGCUUUAUUCAUCUUUGGCUUUAGCUGCAGCCAUCGAUUUUAGGAGUCAUUUCCCCAUUCUGCAUGUGCUAUCCUGUUGUAUGCCUUGGUGUUUCAAAUGUCACAAGCUUUUUUUCCUUGAUUCCCUUACACUUUCCCCACUAACAAGUCUACCUGUAUUUAUUAUUACCUGCUUUUAUUGAUGGUUUUAGAGCGUGCUGUAAUUGAUUUUUAGACCAUUCAUACAUCCUCUAAACUCCUCUGCAUUCUCGAGCCUCCAAGAUAUUUGCCUCUCGCCCAAUCUCUCAUUUCUCUUGGCCCCUAGAAACAUCUCUCUCCCUCUUGCCCCCAAUCUCUUCCACUUUAUUAAGAGGAGAAUUCUGGGUCUCUUAAGCCUAGCCCAGAAUAUGGAAAACUCGCCCAUACCCUGUGCUUGAUGAUGGACCGUCAAUCAGCUCUGGCUCUUGCCAUUUUCCCCUCUAUGAUAUGUAAAGGGAAAGAAGGAAUCAGGUGAAUUAUUUUUCCCUGAUGUGAGUUAACCUUCCCUAGAGGGAAGAAGCAGAGUUUUGCGUAGGGUCUUUUUUUGUUUUGUUUUUAAGACUAAAUCUCCAUUAUGCAUUAUGACUUUGAAAAACAUAGUACACAAGAAGUUUAGACUUUAUCUGUUUUUGCUUGCUUGUUUUCCUUUAGGUUUCUUUUUUGUACUGUUGGUCAACUAUGCAAAGAUGAUAAGAUCCUAUUGACUAUGAAAUGGAAGGGAAUGACCAUGGGAUAGCUACGAAAGCCUUUUCCAAAAUUUUUGUUUGGGUUAUAUUCUUGGCAAGAUGUUGAGACAAUUAAAAAUUUUGUAUUGGAGUUCCCAUUGUGACACAGCAGAAACAAAUCCGGCUAGAAACCAUGAGGUUGUGGGUUUGAGUCCCGGCCUCGCUCAGUAGGUUAAGGAUCCAUUGUUGCUGUGAGCUGUGGUGUAAUUUGCAGACAUGGCUCGGAUCUGUCUUUGCUGUGGCUGUGGCAUAGGCCGGCAGCUGUAGCUCUGAUUUGACCCCUAGCCUGAGAACCUCCAUAUGCCACAGGUGUGGCCCU